rnacentral:rRNA from 1 species
UCAAGCUAAUAAGGGCGCAAGGGGGAUGCCUUGGCAUUGGUAGCCGAUGAAGGACGUAGCGAUCUACGAUAAGCCACGGGAAGUCGAAAGCAGGCAAUGAUCCGUGGAUUUCCGAAUGGGGAAACCCGGCAGAGCAAUACUCUGUCAACUCCUUGUGAAUAAAAUAGCAUUGAGUAGGGAACCUCCUGAACUGAAACAUCUAAGUAGGGAGAGGAAAAGAAAUCAACCGAGAUUCCGCUAGUAGUGGCGAGCGAACGCGGAAGAGGCCAAACCAAGAGUAGUAAUACUUUUGGGGUUCGGACUGAGUACGGUAUUGACAAAGGUUAGUGGAAUGAAAUGGGAAGUUCAACCAUAGAGCGUGAGAGUCGCGUAUACGAAAACUUGAGUCAGCCAUCAGUAUCCAGAGUACCGCCGGACACGUGAAACCCGGUGGGAAUACGGGGGGACCACCCUCCAAGCCUAAAUACUCACCAAUGACCGAUAGUGUAUAGUACUGUGAAGGAAAGGUGAAAAGAACCCCUGGCGGGGAGUGAAAAAGAACCUGAAACCUUGUGCCUACAAGCACAUAGAGCACAUCAACGUGUGAUAUGGUACCUUUUGUAGAAUGGUCCGGCGAGUGAAUGUCACUAGCGAGGUUAAGGACUUAAGGUCUGCAGCCGAAGCGAAAGCGAGUCUUAAUAGGGCGAUAAUAGUUAGUGGUAUUCGACCCGAAACCGAGUGACCUAGCCAUGAGCAGGCUGAAGUGGAGGUAAAACUCCAUGGAGGGCCGAACCCACUCCCGUUGAAAUGGUAGGGGAUGACUUGUGGCUAGCGGAGAAAUUCCAAUCGAACUCGGAGAUAGCUGGUUCUCUCCGAAAUAGCUUUAGGGCUAGCCUCAAAUAACAUUACCGCAGGUAAAGCACUGAAUGGGCUAGGGGGCGAAAGCUUACUGAACCCUAUCAAACUAAGAAUGGCGGAUAAUGAAUAUUUGGGAGUCACACUACGUGAGAUAAGUUUCGUGGUGGAAAGGGAAACAGCCCAGACCCACAGCUAAGGUCCCAAAGUACAGUUAAGUGGAAAAGGAUGUGAAGUUGCGCAGACAACCAGGAUGUUGGCUCAGAAGCAGCCACUCAUUCAAAGAGUGCGUAAUAGCUCACUGGUCGAGUGAUUUUGCGCCGAAAAUUUAACGGGGCUAAACUGUACACCGAAGCUUGGGAAUAUACCUCUGGUAUGUUGGUAGGAGAGCGUCGUAUGCGGGGUGAAGUCGUAGCGAAAGCGGCGGUGGACUGCAUAGGAGUGAGAAUGCCGGAAUGAGUAGCGAGAAUUAUGUGAGAAUCAUAAUGGCCGAAAGACUAAGGUUUUAGAAGGAAGGUUCGUCCGCUUCUAGUUAGCCGGGAGCUAAGGCGAGGCCGAAAGGCGUAGUCGAUGCACAUACGGUUGAGAUUCCGUAGCCACCUUAAAUUUAAACUAAGGGACACAUUGAAAGGGAAUAACCCAGGCGUUGGUUGACCUGGGCGUAAGGGAACGAAAAUAAGUAGUGAAGUAUUCUUGGACAGUGGCGAGAAAAGCUUAGUGUAUAUUAUUAGGGUGCCCGUACUGCAAACCGACACAGGUAGUCAGGAAGAGAAUUCUAAGGCCAUCGGGAGAAGCGUUGUUAAGGAACUCGGCAAAUUGACCCCGUAACUUCGGAAUAAGGGGUGCUCACGCGAGUGAGCCGCAGUGAAUAGGUCCAGGCAACUGUUUAUCAAAAACACAGCUCUCUGCUAAAUCGUAAGAUGACGUAUAGGGGGUGACACCUGCCCGGUGCUGGAAGGUUAAGAGGAGGAGUGCAAGCCCCGAAUCGAAGCCCCAGUAAACGGCGGCCGUAACUAUAACGGGCCUAAGGUAGCGAAAUUCCUUGUCGGGUAAGUUCCGACCUGCACGA